CGGGGGGGCCCCAGUACAUGCAAGUCGAACGCACAGCGAAAGGUGCUUGCACCUUUCAAGUGAGUGGCGAACGGGUGAGUAACACGUGGACAACCUGCCUCAAGGCUGGGGAUAACAUUUGGAAACAGAUGCUAAUACCGAAUAAAACUUAGUGUCGCAUGACACAAAGUUAAAAGGCGCUUCGGCGUCACCUAGAGAUGGAUCCGCGGUGCAUUAGUUAGUUGGUGGGGUAAAGGCCUACCAAGACAAUGAUGCAUAGCCGAGUUGAGAGACUGAUCGGCCACAUUGGGACUGAGACACGGCCCAAACUCCUACGGGAGGCUGCAGUAGGGAAUCUUCCACAAUGGGCGAAAGCCUGAUGGAGCAACGCCGCGUGUGUGAUGAAGGCUUUCGGGUCGUAAAGCACUGUUGUAUGGGAAGAACAGCUAGAAUAGGAAAUGAUUUUAGUUUGACGGUACCAUACCAGAAAGGGACGGCUAAAUACGUGCCAGCAGCCGCGGUAAUACGUAUGUCCCGAGCGUUAUCCGGAUUUAUUGGGCGUAAAGCGAGCGCAGACGGUUUAUUAAGUCUGAUGUGAAAGCCCGGAGCUCAACUCCGGAAUGGCAUUGGAAACUGGUUAACUUGAGUGCAGUAGAGGUAAGUGGAACUCCAUGUGUAGCGGUGGAAUGCGUAGAUAUAUGGAAGAACACCAGUGGCGAAGGCGGCUUACUGGACUGCAACUGACGUUGAGGCUCGAAAGUGUGGGUAGCAAACAGGAUUAGAUACCCUGGUAGUCCACACCGUAAACGAUGAACACUAGGUGUUAGGAGGUUUCCGCCUCUUAGUGCCGAAGCUAACGCAUUAAGUGUUCCGCCUGGGGAGUACGACCGCAAGGUUGAAACUCAAAGGAAUUGACGGGGACCCGCACAAGCGGUGGAGCAUGUGGUUUAAUUCGAAGCAACGCGAAGAACCUUACCAGGUCUUGACAUCCUUUGAAGCUUUUAGAGAUAGAAGUGUUCUCUUCGGAGACAAAGUGACAGGUGGUGCAUGGUCGUCGUCAGCUCGUGUCGUGAGAUGUUGGGUUAAGUCCCGCAACGAGCGCAACCCUUAUUGUUAGUUGCCAGCAUUCAGAUGGGCACUCUAGCGAGACUGCCGGUGACAAACCGGAGGAAGGC
rnacentral:rRNA from 1 species